GACGAACGCUGGCGGCGUGCUUAACACAUGCAAGUCGAACGGAAAGGCCCUGCUUUUGUGGGGUGCUCGAGUGGCGAACGGGUGAGUAACACGUGAGUAACCUGCCCUUGACUUUGGGAUAACUUCAGGAAACUGGGGCUAAUACCGGAGAGGAGCGCCUGCUGCAUGGGGGGGGUUGGAAAGUUUCGGCGGUUGGGGAUGGACUCGCGGCUUAUCAGCUUGUUGGUGGGGUAGUGGCUUACCAAGGCUUUGACGGGUAGCCGGCCUGAGAGGGUGACCGGCCACCUUGGGACUGAGGUACGGCCCAGACUCCUACGGGAGGCAGCAGUGGGGAAUAUUGCACCAUGGGCGGAAGCCUGGUGCAGCAACGCCGCGUGCGGGAUGACGGCCUUCGGGUUGUAAACCGCUUUCGCCUGUGACGCAGCGUGAGUGACGGUAAUGGGUAAAGAAGCACCGGCUAACUACGUG
rnacentral:rRNA from 1 species